GUACCACAAUCAUUGUUCAACCUGUGCAGCUAAGGAACUAUUUCUGUCCCUGAGUAAGAAAUGUGACAUGUGAAGGCUUCCAACACAAAAACGUCACUCCUUAUAUGCACACUCUUGUCUACCAUUUUUGUAUGGGAAUGUCCUAACACAUACCUACACACGGCAGCGGUAGUGAUAAUUUUCAAAAAAUCGUUGUGGGCGCUGUGUUGGAGCUAUGCGCACGCUGUAGGUACCAGGACAUGCGCAUUGGGCUGCUCUUUCACGUGGUAUCUUUAAUAUCGGGUUUGUCUAAGUUCACCGUGUUUGAAGCAGUGACGUCAUUAUAAACAUUACAUCAUUACAAAUAAUCUUAGUUAAAAAACUGAAGGAUUCAGCACCAUCAUGAGAGAUAUAAUAUACAGUCUGAGCUCUCAUACAGGGCCAGUAGAGACUCAGAGGGAUGCUUACGCCUAGCUGGAGGACCUUGCUCACUUUUGUGAGGGAUGACCAGUGUGGCUUUCUUCUGUUGGCAGUGAAACAAAAUAGAGGGUACACGUUGUUACACACUGUCAGUUUCCAUCAAACAUUUUCUUGUCGCAAAUCGUACACUUCAGUUACCGCUCAACUUUGUAUAUACUCGAAGUUGUAUUUUUUGAUUGUAAUGUGUGCAUAGCAUGUACGCGUAUACCCUAUUUCCUACUACCAUUGACUAAUAUUUGUGUUUAAUUUUUCUCUUUGUAGUAUUAUGACCAAACUGACAAUUCAACUGCCGAGUUUCAGCAAUGCAUAA